rnacentral:rRNA from 1 species
AUGAUCAUACAAAAUUUUUAUGCUGGAUUGAAUUUUGCUUCUAGAAAUCUUUUAGAUUCGGCCGCAGGAGGCACUUUUAUGGAAAUCACUUUAGGAGAAGCUACUAAACUCCUAGAUAAUAUUAUGGUUAAUUAUUCUCAAUGGCACACCGAAAGAUCCACUAGUAAAAAAGAUCAUGCGAUUGAAGAGAUUAAUGUUUUGAGUGGAAAGAUGGAUGAACUUAUGAAAUUAUUUGCUAAUAAAAGUGUUUCUUCUGAUCCUAAUGAUAUGACUUUGUCCACUUUGAUUGAGAAUAAUAAUGAAUCUAUGGAUGUGAAUUUUGUUGGUAGGAACAAUUUUGGUAACAACGCAUAUAGAGGAAACUUUAAUUCUAGGCCGUUACCUAGUAAUUCCUCUAAUAAUUAUGGUAAUUCCUACAACAACUCUUAUGGAAAUUUUAAUAAGAUGCCCUCUGAUUUUGAGACUACUGUUAAAGAAUUUAUGAUUUCACAAAAGAAUUUCAAUGCUUUGCUUGAAGAAAAAUUGCUUAAGGUUGAUGAAUUGGCUAGGAACGUGGAUAGAAUUUCUCUUGAUGUUGAUUCCUUGAAACUUAGAUCUAUUCCACCUAAGCAUGAUAUCAGUGAGUCUCUCAAAGCCAUGAGAAUUUCCAUUGAUGAGUGCAAAGAAAGAACCGCUAGGAUGCGUGCUAAAAAGGAUUGCUUUGUGAAAGCGUGUUCUUCUAGUUUUCAUGAUAAUAAGGAUGAAGAUCUAAAAGUGAUUGGUGUGUCUCCUAUUAAAUCUUUGUUGUCUAAUAUGAAUCUUGAUAAUGAUGGGACUGGAGAUGAGUCAACUUUAGUUAGAAGGCGUCCCAAUGAUUCAGAGUUUUUAGAUCUUGAUGCAAAAAUUGGUAAAGGUGGGAUUGAAGAGGUCAAAACUUUACAUAGAAAUGAACCCACUAUUUUGGAUUUCAAGGAAUUUAAUUAUGAUAAUUGCUCUUUGAUAGAUUGUAUUUCCUUGUUGCAAUCCGCGUUAAAUUCUCCUCGUGCUUAUAGUCAAAAUAAAGCUUUUACCAAACAUAUCGUUGAUGCUUUAAUGCAAUCUUAUGAAGAAAACUUGAAUUAG